rnacentral:rRNA from 1 species
UACGUAGGGGGCAAGCGUUGUCCGGAAUUACUGGGCGUAAAGAGCUCGUAGGUGGUUUGUCGCGUUGUUCGUGAAAACUCACAGCUCAACUGUGGGCGUGCGGGCGAUACGGGCAGACUAGAGUACUGCAGGGGAGACUGGAAUUCCUGGUGUAGCGGUGGAAUGCGCAGAUAUCAGGAGGAACACCGGUGGCGAAGGCAGGUCUCUGGGCCGAUACUGACGCUGAGGAGCGAAAGCGUGGGGAGCGAACAGG